rnacentral:rRNA from 1 species
UACGUAGGCAGCGAGCGUUGUUCGGAAUUACUGGGCGUAAAGAGUGUGUAGGCGGUGCUCUAAGUUCGGUGUGAAAUCUCCCGGCUCAACUGGGAGGGUGCGCCGAAAACUGGAGUGCUGGAGCGCGGGAGAGGAAAGCGGAAUUCCUGGUGUAGCGGUGAAAUGCGUAGAUAUCAGGAGGAACACCGGCGGUGUAGACGGCUUUCUGGACCGUAGCUGACGCUGAGACACGAAAGCGUGGGUAGCAAACAGG